AAAGCUCCAGGACAGGGCCUGUCCCAGAGGUCUCUGGACUUGGGGCUGGAGGGGGGUGGAGUCUGGACAGACCUCACUUCCUAGAUUUAGCUCUUUAGAACGAGACAGAUCUGUGCAAGCGAUAGCUGUGUGCUGUCGGGCCAACUCUGUCCUCCUAUUUCAUCAUCUGUAAGUGGAGCUUGGUGAUGCUUCUCCACAGGCUGGUUGGGAUGUUAGUGAUUAUGGGGGGUGCCGCUGGGCCUGUGAGAUCAGCCUGCCCCCCCCCCCAGUUUCCUUAGAUUGGUCUCCUGAUAAAGGGGUAGCCCAAAGGGAGCCUGGAAGAGACUUGAAUUUCCCUUCCUGAUUUAAUCUGGUUUUCUUCCCAGAUCCAGUUGUGGUGACCAUAGAGGGGUUUGGGAGCCAGUGGACCCAGUCCACCCCCCGAAGUAGGCUGGCCUCAGUACCCAGGAAGACAGGAAGACCCAGAGUUCUAAUUGCCCAAGCACAGAGCUACUCAGGAACAACGACAGGGUUGGGCCCCAGGGCUAUCUGACUUCAACCUUCGUGCAACCCUUGGGAGCAGCCAGGAUGGCGGACAGAAGGAAGAGACCCUAUCGCCCAAGCAGGAGCCAAGCACCCAGGAGGCCUCGGGAGUCUGGUGACUUCCCUGAAAAUCCUAACAGCCCUUCUCAGGAAUAGGAGUGGGGAGAGGAGCAGGUGCUGAGUAGAGCCUCUAAAGACCACAUUUUCCAGAGUCGGGAAGCUGGUCUGGUUUUUCACCCCUUUGCUGUGUGACCUGCAACCACUUACUUCCCUUUUCUGAGUCUCAGCUACUAGAUUGGAAAAUGAGAAUAACCCUUCCUGCAUUCAUUCUGCAGAGGCAGGUAAGGUGUGUUGGAGUCAACAUCACAGCAGACCUGCCCCACUGUUCUUUACAAACGAGUUUACCAUAUAUGUAAAGAGCAUGGUUCAAUAAAUAUGCAUGUCAUAACUGCAGGAGUGAGGGGAAAGAGGGUAAGGCAAAGUCAACAGGGGCCCUGCCGCCCAGACUAGAAAUGCCAAUUGAAACUGAAGCCCGGCCAUGGGGCAUAGUUGGGGUGGGGGGGUGCUUUAAAUCUUUGCAACCAAAGAGACAAAAUUCUGCUUCGCAGCGUCAGAUUACCAGGGCAAUUCUCAACGUGAGAGUGGGGAAAGAUGGGAUGGGGGCGACAGUUCUUCAGGGAAACCUUCUCUUGGUGGCUCCUCCCCCUAAAGAGCCUGAGACCCCCAAACAAGGCCCCCAGGCCCCUCUUGGUCGGGGUGAUCCGAACUCAUACAAGGAGAGGAGUGUGUGCCAGGGCACUGAGGGGCACAAGUCAUGGUGGAGGUGCCCCCUCUGCCCCGGUGUGCCUAGUAGGGGGCAGGGGUCCCAGCCUGGCCAACCGUGAUGCUGGCAGGCCGUGUGUGUCUGCCCCGGCAACAACCUUUGAGCGCUUACCAGAAUUAACCCAUAUAUUCCUCCCAACAGUCCCAGGAGGACUGGGCUGCUAUUCCCAUUUGACAGAUGAUGACACCGAGACCCGGGGAGGUUGGCCUCUGCUGUGUGCUGAGCAAAUUGUUUCUAGCCCUCUCUGAGCUUCUUUGGGUCAGCGUUGCCACUCAUGGUGGUUACCUCCGGGUUCAUCAAUGAGUCAAUUCAAUAGACACUCCACCGAAGAUCUGCUGGUCACCAGUUCUCCUCUGUGAGGGGUGAAGCUGACAGCAAUGAAGAAGGAGGGGGGACAUCUGUCCCCUGGGUGUUAACCGGCUCUCUGGGCUGAGGCCAGGUGUAGAUUGAGGGGGAGUCACAGAAUGGGGUGGGUUGAAUUGGCGGCAGGGAGAAUGGGGACCUCAGACAUCCCCUGGCCCCUACAUGCCAAAUCCAACUCUACAUGUGUUCUGAUUUUGAAUUAAUUGUCAAAUACAGAAGAUUCGACCCGAAGGCUGGAUUUCUGGCUUUUCUUG